rfam:Mus musculus chromosome 14, GRC primary reference assembly.
CUCCCCCACAAUGGGCAAAAGGACAUCUUGGUGUUGGGAUUGCUCUUAUAUCAGUCAGGGACAGAGCAGGUCCUUUGUUCACCCAAGCUUGAUGCCUGACUUGGUGGCCAAAGCUGUUUUAUGCCUAGGACACACAC